GCCCGCUUAGCUCAGUUGGUAGAGCAGGGGACUCUUAAUCCCAAGGUCACAGGUUCGACCCCUGUAGCGGGUA
rnacentral:tRNA from 1 species